UUCCUCUCCCUCUUGCUCCUUUGCUCCCCCUUUCUCCUCCCCCUCCCUUUUCCCUCUCAUUUUCUCUUUCCCCCUCUCUUCCCCCUCCCUUUCCCUCUCCCUCUUCUCUCUCUCAGCUCCCUUACAUUAAAGUGAAAAUGCUGCUAUCAGUGACUUCCAGGCCUGGGAUUUCGACUUUUGGCUAUAACAAGAACAACAAGAAGCCCUAUGUGUCAUUGUCUCAGCAGAUGGCACCACCUAGUCCAAGCAACAGUACCCCGAACAGCAGCAGUGGGAGCAAUGGAAAUGACCAGUUGAGCAAAACCAACCUCUAUAUCCGGGGAUUGCAACCAGGCACUACUGACCAGGAUCUUGUCAAAUUGUGCCAGUCAUAUGGCAAGACUGUCUCCACUAAGGCCAUCCUGGACAAGAGCAUGAACAAAUGCAAAGGCUCUGGCUUUGUGGACUUCGACAGUCCUUCAGCCGCACAGAAAGCUGUCACGGCACUGAAAGCCAGUGGUGUGCAGGCACAGAUGGCAAAGCAACAGGAACAGGACCCCACAAAUUUAUACAUAUCAAACCUUCCACUCUCCAUGGAUGAGCAAGAACUAGAGGGGAUGCUGAAGCCUUUUGGCCAGGUUAUCUCCACUCGAAUCCUCCGAGACACCAGUGGGACCAGCAGAGGUGUUGGCUUUGCAAGGAUGGAGUCCACAGAGAAGUGUGAAGCCAUCAUCACCCACUUUAAUGGAAAAUAUAUUAAGACACCUGCUGGAGUACCAGCCCCAUCUGAUCCCUUGCUUUGCAAAUUUGCUGAUGGUGGUCCAAAGAAACGACAGAACCAAGGGAAAUAUAUGCAAAAUGGAUGGGCCUGGCCAAGGAAUGGAGAUAUGGGUGGUAUGGCCUUGACCUAUGACCCCACCACAGCUCUUCAGAAUGGGUUUUACCCGGCUCCUUAUAACAUCAUCCCCAACAGGAUGCUUGCUCAGUCUGCACUCUCCCCGUACCUUCCAUCUCCUGUGUCUUCCUAUCAGAGAGUAACUCAGACAUCUCCUCUACAAGUACCUAACCCGUCUUGGAUGCACCACCAGUCAUACCUCAUGCAGCCUUCAGGUUCUGUUCUGCCGCCAGGGUUGGAUCACCCCAUUUCUCUCCAGCCUGCCUCCAUGAUGGGACCUCUUACCCAGCAACUGGGGCACCUCUCGCUCAGCAGCACGGGCACGUACGUGCCGGCGGCCGCCCGGGUGCCAGGAGCUUACAUCGCCCCGUACACCCCUGUGCCUUCCGCCGGUGUUGCAGCCGAGUGGUCUGGAAGCGAACCCGCCUUGUCUCUGAGGUGUGCCUGGACACCUGAAUUAUUGGAGAGGCUGAUGCUCCCGAACUCCAGAGGGCUGAUGGGAUACAGACGCAGCGUGGGCCCUGCUAAGGACUAACACUUGGGCAGCGCUUUCACAGGCCUGGGCCUGGAGAAAAGAAAUCUCUGCGCUCCUGCCCUCUGCUUCUUCCUCCAUUCCUGGGAGGGCCUGGAAGAACUGUCACUUUUUGUGUGUGCUGCAUUCAAGGAGAUCAAAAGAACUUUUUUUUCUUUCUUUUGCAAAGAAAGUUUUAUAUUUUGUUUUUAACUGCAAUAUACUCUUUCCA